UACACCACGGGGCUGCAUGUGACUAGCGCUCUGGCACGGCCUCUGCGCCUCCGCCUAACCCCAUCUACAUAGCUUCUCAAAGCUCCCUCGGGAGGGAAAGGGGGAGCUAACCACCACUCAGAGUCACAGACCACAACUGCCCCGGGAGUGUUUAGUGGGCAGGGGUACAGGUUUAGCCCACCCGCGUCCCUGCUGGCUUCCCGGGCCGGCCACACCCCCGGCACGCGCCCACUCCUGCCCUGCCGCCGCUCACCUUACGGUCGCCGACGCCCUCGCCCACUGCCACCACGACACCGGCGCCCUCCAUGCCGGGGGUGACCGGCAGGGGCGGCAGCCGGUCGUACAGCCCUUGGCGGCCCAUGAGGUCGGCGAAGUUGAGCCCGCAGGCUCGCACGCGCAGCGUCAAUUGACCCGGACCCGGGGCCGGGGGCGCCGCCGGCCGGCUCUGCAGCUUCACCUUAUCGUAGCCACCGAAGCCGGAUUUCUCGAAGGCAUGCAGCAGCACCAUGCCCGGCUAAGGAAGAAUUUUUUUUCAUUUAU